CCCCCCCAAAACGAAAGUGUGACGGGGUUACCCAAAGUGUUCUCUUUAGGACUGUGGUAAGUGAGUAAUGUCCCCUUAUAGAAAGGAGAGGGCAAGGCUGGUGCCAGCCGCCGCCCUAAAACCAGCUCUUCAAGUGGUCGGGAUAAUUAUUGGGCUUAAAGUGUCCGUAGCCGGUUUAGUAAGUUCCUGGUAAAAUCGGGUAGCUUAACUAUCCGUAUGCUAGGAAUACUGCUAUACUAGAGGGCGGGAGAGGUCUGAGGUACUACAGGGGUAGGGGUGAAAUCUUAUAAUCCUUGUAGGACCACCAGUGGCGAAGGCGUCAGACUGGAACGCGCCUGACGGUGAGGGACGAAAGCCAGGGGAGCGAACCGGAUUAGAUACCCGGGUAGUCCUGGCCGUAAACGAUGCAUACUAGGUGACGGCACGGCCAUGAGCCGUGUCGGUGCCGUAGGGAAACCGUUAAGUGUGCCGCCUGGGAAGUACGGUCGCAAGGCUAAAACUUAAAGGAAUUGGCGGGGGA
rnacentral:rRNA from 1 species